AUUCGAUUCAAACUUUCAUGGCAAAAGGGGAUUUGCAAGGCUUGGUGGUUUUGACUUUUAUUUAGCACUUGCUGGCUCAUCUUCCCAUACAGCAGUGGGUUGAUGAGGGCGCUGACCAGUGACAGCAUGCCUAUGAUGAUCUCCAGUGAGUGCGAAAGCCGACCUUGGGCGAGGCUCACGAGGUUCAUCAGCUGGAAGAAGGCCCGUAGACGAGUUGAUAUCAGUAAAAGGUACUGUACUAGUGUUAAACCGGCGUGUGUGUUAGUGAUGUCCAGGUGCUGAGAAGUCAAUAGUCAGUGUAUCGUUUAACCAAUUGUUAUUGUUGUUAGUGAUAUACAGGUGCUCAUGAGUCUAAAGUCAAAACUAUAGUGGAAAAUAGUAAAAAAAUAUUUACCAAUCAAAUUGAAGCUGCAAGAGCGCCAAGAAAGAUUGAAAUGUAAAGUUUAUGUUCUUUAUCGUUGUCUGUUGUUAUAGUAAGUCCCAGGAACGUAUCCUGAGAUUUAUAACGGUUAAGGGUAAGGAGACUUUAUUUGUUAUUUGAUACAAAAUAAAGAAACAUGUCUUUUA